GGGGGGGGGGGGGGGGGGGGGGAGCGCGGGCGAGGCGAGCGGGGGAGGGGGGCGUGCUCCUGGAGUCAGCGGCGGACGGGGGAGGAAUGCCUAGGAAGCUGCCGGGGAGUGGGGGAUAACGUCCGGAAACGGGCGCUAAUACCGCAUACGUCCUGAGGGAGAAAGUGGGGGAUCUUCGGACCUCACGCUAUCAGACGAGCCUAGGUCGGAUUAGCUAGUUGGUGGGGUAAAGGCCUACCAAGGCGACGAUCCGUAACUGGUCUGAGAGGAUGAUCAGUCACACUGGAACUGAGGCGCGGUCCAGACUCCUACGGGAGGCAGCAGUGGGGAAUAUUGGACAAUGGGCGAAAGCCUGAUCCAGCCAUGCCGCGUGUGUGAAGAAGGUCUUCGGAUUGUAAAGCACUUUAGGUUGGGAGGAAGGGCAGUAAGUUAAUACCUUGCUGUUUUGACGUUACCAACAGAAUAAGCACCGGCUAACUUCGUG
rnacentral:rRNA from 1 species